rnacentral:tRNA from 2 species
GCAGCCAUAGCUCAGCUGGAUAGAGCGCUUCCCUGCGAAGGAAGAGGUCGGACGUUCAAAUCGUCCUGGCUGCACCA